CUUACAUCUCUUCGGAGCAUUUACGAGGUGCUGCAUGGUUGUCGUCAGCUCGUGCCGUGAGGUGUCGGGUUAAGGUCCCAUAACGAGCGCAACCCCUACCUUUAGUUGCCAUCAGGUAAUGCUGGGGACUCUAAAGGAACUGCCUACGCAAGUAGUGAGGAAGGCGGGGAUGACGUCAAAUCAGCACGGCCCUUACGUCCAGGGCUACACACGUGCUACAAUGGCCGAUACAGAGGGCAGCUACCUGGUGACAGGAUGCAAAUCUCCAAAGUCGGUCUCAGUUCGGAUCGGAGUCUGCAACCCGACUCCGUGAAGUUGGAUUCGCUAGUAAUCGCGCAUCAGCCAUGGCGCGGUGAAUACGUUCCCGGGCCUU
rnacentral:rRNA from 1 species